rnacentral:rRNA from 1 species
GAUAAACGCUGGCGGCGUGCCUAAUACAUGCAAGUCGAACGAGAGGGUAACCUCGAGUGGCGGACGGGUGAGGAACGCGUGGGUGAUCUACCGUUGAGUGGGGGAUACCCGCUAGAAAUAGCGGCUAAUACCGCAUACGGUGACGAUUUCGCUAUCGUCACGAAAGCAGCAAUGCGCUGAACGAGGAGCCCGCGUCUGAUUAGCUAGUUGGUGGGGUAACGGCCUACCAAGGCGACGAUCAGUAACUGGUCUGAGAGGAUGAUCAGUCACACUGGGA